rnacentral:rRNA from 1 species
UACGUAGGGUGCGAGCGUUAAUCGGAAUUACUGGGCGUAAAGCGUGCGCAGGCGGUGAUGUAAGACAGUUGUGAAAUCCCCGGGCUCAACCUGGGAAUUGCAUCUGAGACUGCAUCGCUAGAGUACGGUAGAGGGGGAUGGAAUUCCGCGUGUAGCAGUGAAAUGCGUAGAUAUGCGGAGGAACACCGAUGGCGAAGGCAAUCCCCUGGACCUGUACUGACGCUCAUGCACGAAAGCGUGGGGAGCAAACAGG